AGAGUUUGAUCAUGGCUCAGAGCGAACGCUAGCGGCGGGCCUCAAACAUGCAAGUCGCACGCGAAAGGUAGCAAUACCGAGUAGAGUGGCGCACGGGUGAGUAACACGUAAUUAACUUCCCCUCUCGCUGGGGAUAACUCCGGGAAACCGGAGCUAAUACCGAAUGAUCUCUUUUGGACUGCGGUUCAGACGAGUAAAGCCUUACGGUGCGAGAGGAUAGGGUUGCGGCCUAUUAACUAGUUGGUGGGGUAAUAGCCUACCAAGGUUACGAUAGGUAGCUGGUCUGAGAGGACGAUCAGCCACACUGGAACUGACACACGGUCCAGACUCCCACGGGAGGCAGCAGUCGGGAAUUUUGGACAAUGGGCGCAAGCCUGAUCCAGCCACGCCGCGUGAAUGAUGAAGGCCUUCGGGUCGUAAAGUUCUUUUAGUUGGGAAAAACACAAUGAUGGUACCAACAGAAAAAGCACCGGCUAACCCGUGCCAGCAGCCGCGGUAAUACGGAGGGUGCAAGCGUUGCUCGGAAUUAUUGGGCGUAAAGCGUAUGUAGGUGGUUUUCUAAGUCUGAUGUGAAAUCCCAGGGCUCAACCCUGGAACUGCAUUGGAUACUGGAAAGCUAGAGGAUGAUAGAGGAUGGUGGAAUUCCAGGUGUAGGGGUGAAAUCCGUAGAUAUCUGGAGGAACAUCAGUGGCGAAGGCGGCCAUCUGGAUCAUACCUGACACUGAGAUACGAAAGCGUGGGGAGCAAACAGGAUUAGAUACCCUAGUAGUCC
rnacentral:rRNA from 1 species